CAGCCGCCGCGGGAAUACGUAGGUGGCAAGCGUUGUCCGGAAUUAUUGGGCGUAAAGGGCUCGCUGGCGGUUUCUUAAGUCUGAUGUGAAAGCCCCCGGCUCAACCGGGGAGGGUCAUUGGAAACUGGGAAACUUGAGUGCAGAGGAGGAGAGUGGAAUUCCACGUGUAGCGGUGAAAUGCGUAGAGAUGUGGAGGAACACCAGUGGCGAAGGCGACUCUCUGGUCUGUAACUGACGCUGAGGAGCGAAAGCGUGGGGAGCGAACAGGAUUAGAUACCCCUGUAGUCCCUGUCUCUUAUAC
rnacentral:rRNA from 1 species